rnacentral:lncRNA from 1 species
AUAUAUAAAGAAGAAAAAAUAUACAAAAAAUUUUAAAAAAUGAACUAGUCAUUAGUAUUGUAUAAAAAAAGUGAACUAGUCAUUAGUAUUCUUUCUACCUAAAAUUUUUUUAUUAGAAUUUUUUUAACCUUUUUGCUACUGCUAAGAAAAAAAAUAAAAGAGCUAGCGUGUCAUCGGACCUGCUAUAGCAUUCUUAUUUAAUACGAAAAUUUUGGUGGACUCCACUUGGGGUCAACUUGGACUCCACUCUUUGUCAGCUAAUUCACGAAUAAUUCGCGAAUUAUUUGCGAAUUAUUGAAAAUCCGAAUUAAAUGGUUCAUUUACAAUUUUUUCCUAAAGAAAGGAAAUUAUUCGCGAAUUUUUGAGCCAGCCGAAUAAUCUCAAAUUUUUUCAAAUUUGAGAUUUAGCUAACAAAGCACCGGGGGUGGCUAUUUGAGCAUCUUUUCACUAUAUCAUCUUAUAACUCCGAAAAAUCCAAAAUAUUCACUAUUUUUCAACAUUUUCAUUUACAUGAUCAAUUUCUAUGUGGCAGCUUUACACACUUUCCGGACGACCGGGGUGGUAGCUCUUUUCUAUAUGUGGUGGUAGUUUUCACACUCCUUUUGGAUGUAAUUCUUUCCACAUCUUUUAAUCAUAGGAGCAUUUUUUUUUUCUUUUGUAUCAAUUUCUCACAUUAUUUAAUACAAACUCCCCUUAAAUUAGACAAUCUUGCAUUUGAAAGAAAAUUUGACAAAUUUUAGUCUAUUAACGAACAAUCAUUACUCCAAAAAAAUUUCACGGGUUUAUUUUAAGAACUGUUUGGAUACAUAUUAUAGAAUUCUACAGGAUUUCUGAUAAUCUUUAAAAAUUUAGCUAUUAAAAAGCUAUUAAAGUUACAGUACAGAUCCUUGACAGGAAUGUUAGGAGCUUUGUCUUCUA